AGCGAACGCUGGCGGCAGGCUUAACACAUGCAAGUCGAGCGGGCAUCCUUGUGGUGUCAGCGGCAGACGGGUGAGUAACGCGUGGGAACGUGCCCUUCGGUUCGGAAUAACUCAGGGAAACUUGAGCUAAUACCGGAUACGUGCGAGAGCAGAAAGGUUUAUCUGCCGAAGGAUCGGCCCGCGUCUGAUUAGCUAGUUGGUGCGGUUAUGGCUCACCAAGGCGACGAUCAGUAGCUGGUCUGAGAGGAUGAUCAGCCACACUGGGACUGAGACACGGCCCAGACUCCUACGGGAGGCAGCAGUGGGGAAUAUUGGACAAUGGGGGCAACCCUGAUCCAGCCAUGCCGCGUGAGUGAUGACGGCCUUAGGGUUGUAAAGCUCUUUUCUCCGGGACGAUAAUGACGGUACCGGAGGAAUAAGCCCCGGCUAACUUCGUG
rnacentral:rRNA from 1 species